rnacentral:rRNA from 1 species
GAUGAACGCUGGCGGCGUGCCUAAUACAUGCAAGUCGAGCGAAUGGAUUAAGAGCUUGCUCUUAUGAAGUUAGCGGCGGACGGGUGAGUAACACGUGGGUAACCUGCCCAUAAGACUGGGAUAACUCCGGGAAACCGGGGCUAAUACCGGAUAACAUUUUGAACCGCAUGGUUCGAAAUUGAAAGGCGGCUUCGGCUGUCACUUAUGGAUGGACCCGCGUCGCAUUAGCUAGUUGGUGAGGUAACGGCUCACCAAGGCAACGAUGCGUAGCCGACCUGAGAGGGUGAUCGGCCACACUGGGACUGAGACACGGCCCAGACUCCUACGGGAGGCAGCAGUAGGGAAUCUUCCGCAAUGGACGAAAGUCUGACGGAGCAACGCCGCGUGAGUGAUGAAGGCUUUCGGGUCGUAAAACUCUGUUGUUAGGGAAGAACAAGUGCUAGUUGAAUAAGCUGGCACCUUGACGGUACCUAACCAGAAAGCCACGGCUAACUACGUGCCAGCAGCCGCGGUAA